ACGGGUGAGUAACACGUGGGUAACCUGCCUGUAAGAUUGGGAUAACUCCGGGAAACCGGAGCUAAUACCGGAUAACAUUUUGAACCGCAUGGUUCAAAGUUGAAAGACGGCUUCGGCUGUCACUUGCAGAUGGACCCGCGGCGCAUUAGCUAGUUGGUGAGGUAAUGGCUCACCAAGGCGACGAUGCGUAGCCGACCUGAGAGGGUGAUCGGCCACACUGGGACUGAGACACGGCCCAGACUCCUACGGGAGGCAGCAGUAGGGAAUCUUCCGCAAUGGACGAAAGUCUGACGGAGCAACGCCGCGUGAACGAUGAAGGCCUUCGGGUCGUAAAGUUCUGUUGUUAGGGAAGAACAAGUACCAGAGUAACUGCUGGUACCUUGACGGUACCUAACCAGAAAGCCACGGCUAACUACGUGCCAGCAGCCGCGGUAAUACGUAGGUGGCAAGCGUUGUCCGGAAUUAUUGGGCGUAAAGCGCGCGCAGGCGGUUUCUUAAGUCUGAUGUGAAAGCCCACGGCUCAACCGUGGAGGGUCAUUGGAAACUGGGGAACUUGAGUGCAGAAGAGGAGAGUGGAAUUC
rnacentral:rRNA from 1 species